rnacentral:rRNA from 1 species
UUAGAGUUUGAUCCUGGCUCAGGAUGAACGCUAGCGGCAGGCUUAACACAUGCAAGUCGAGGGGCAGCGAGAUCAGUGCUUGCACUGAUUGUCGGCGACCGGCGCACGGGUGCGUAACGCGUAUGCAACCUACCCAUUACAGGGGGAUAACACUGAGAAAUCGGUACUAAUACCCCAUAACAUCCAGGGAGGCAUCUUCUUGGGUUGAAAACUCCGGUGGUAAUGGAUGGGCAUGCGUUGUAUUAGUUAGUUGGUGGGGUAACGGCUCACCAAGACAACGAUACAUAGGGGGACUGAGAGGUUAACCCCCCACAUUGGUACUGAGACACGGACCAAACUCCUACGGGAGGCAGCAGUGAGGAAUAUUGGUCAAUGGACGCAAGUCUGAACCAGCCAUGCCGCGUGCAGGAAGACGGCACUAUGAGUUGUAAACUGCUUUUGUACGAGGGUAAACGCAGAUACGCGUAUCUGUCUGAAAGUAUCGUACGAAUAAGGAUCGGCUAACUCCGUGCCAGCAGCCGCGGUAAUACGGAGGAUUCAAGCGUUAUCCGGAUUUAUUGGGUUUAAAGGGUGCGUAGGCGGUCGGAUAAGUUAGAGGUGAAAUCCCGGGGCUCAACUUCGGAAUUGCCUCUGAUACUGUUCGGCUAGAGAGUAGUUGCGGUAGGCGGAAUGUAUGGUGUAGCGGUGAAAUGCUUAGAGAUCAUACAGAACACCGAUUGCGAAGGCAGCUUACCAAGCUACUUCUGACGUUGAGGCACGAAAGCGUGGGGAGCAAACAGGAUUAGAUACCCUGGUAGUCCACGC